rnacentral:misc_RNA from 1 species
AACGCAUAUUGCACUCUCUUUUGGAGAGUAUGCCUGUUUGGGAAUAUAUUGUUUUCAUUUUUCUAUCUGAUUUUUGUUUAUAUAGAAAGGCGUUGCGAUUACUAUAAAAUGAUUUUUAUAGUUUGAUAAAAUCGAUUUCAAUGGCCUAGUAUUUUACACCAAACCAUAGUUUAAAACUAUUUGAAUGAAACUUUUAAAGAGUUUCUAGUUUCAUAGUGAUUUCUAUGGGAAAUACAAUUUAGAAUUUUUGAAUAAAAAAACCAUAAAAGAAAACAGUAUAUUUAUAUAUGAAUUCUUUGACCCAUGGUCUCAAAUCAGGUAGGAAGACCCGCUGAACUUAA